rnacentral:rRNA from 1 species
GAUGAACGCUGGCGGCGUGCCUAAUACAUGCAAGUCGAGCGAACGGACGAGAAGCUUGCUUUUCUGAUGUUAGCGGCGGACGGGUGAGUAACACGUGGAUAACCUACCUAUAAGACUGGGAUAACUUCGGGAAACCGGAGCUAAUACCGGAUAAUAUUUUGAACCGCAUGGUUCAAAAGUGAAAGACGGUCUUGCUGUCACUUAUAGAUGGAUCCGCGCUGCAUUAGCUAGUUGGUAAGGUAACGGCUUACCAAGGCAACGAUGCAUAGCCGACCUGAGAGGGUGGUCGGCCACCCUGGAACUGAGACACGGUCCAGACUCCUACGGGAGGCAGCAGUAGGGAAUCUUCCGCAAUGGGCGAAAGCCUGACGGAGCAACGCCGCGUGAGUGAUGAAGGUCUUCGGAUCGUAAAACUCUGUUAUUAGGGAAGAACAUAUGUGUAAGUAACUGUGCACAUCUUGACGGUACCUAAUCAGAAAGCCACGGCUAAAUACGUGC